GACGUAGGGCGCGAGCGUUGUCCGGAUUUAUUGGGCGUAAAGAGCUCGUAGGCGGCUUGUCGCGUCGACCGUGAAAACUUGGGGCUCAACCCCAAGCCUGCGGUCGAUACGGGCAGGCUAGAGUUCGGUAGGGGAGACUGGAAUUCCUGGUGUAGCGGUGAAAUGCGCAGAUAUCAGGAGGAACACCGGUGGCGAAGGCGGGUCUCUGGGCAGUAACUGACGCUGAGGAGCGAAAGCGUGGGGAGCGAACAGG
rnacentral:rRNA from 1 species